rnacentral:rRNA from 1 species
ACUCCUACGGGAGGCAGCAGUGGGGAAUAUUGCACAAUGGGGGAAACCCUGAUGUAGCCAUGCCGCGUGUGUGAAGAAGGCCUUCGGGUUGUAAAGCACUUUCAGUAGGGAGGAAGGUAGUGUAGUUAACACCUGCAUUAUUUGACGUUACCUACAGAAGAAGCACCGGCUAACUCCGUGCCAGCAGCCGCGGUAAUACGGAGGGUGCGAGCGUUAAUCGGAAUUACUGGGCGUAAAGCGCAUGCAGGCGGCCUGUUAAGUCAGAUGUGAAAGCCCGGGGCUUAACCUCGGAAUUGCAUUUGAAACUGGCAGGCUAGAGUCUUGUAGAGGGGGGUAGAAUUUCAGGUGUAGCGGUGAAAUGCGUAGAGAUCUGAAGGAAUACCAGUGGCGAAGGCGGCCCCCUGGACAAAGACUGACGCUCAGAUGCGAAAAGCGUGGGGAGCAAACAGGAUUAGAUACCCUGGUAGGAUAGCG